rnacentral:rRNA from 1 species
UAUACUUUAGGAGGGGCUUGCGCCAUAUUAGUUAGUUGGUAGGGUAAUGGCCUACCAAGACGAUGAUGUGUAGCUGGACUGAGAGGUUGAACAGCCACAUUGGGACUGAGACACGGCCCAAACUCCUACGGGAGGCAGCAGUAGGGAAUUUUCGGCAAUGGAGGAAACUCUGACCGAGCAACGCCGCGUGAACGACGAAGUACUUUGGUAUGUAAAGUUCUUUUAUCAAGGAAGAAAAGCAAGUGGUGAACCAUUUGUUUGCCGGUACUUGAUGAAUAAGCCCCGGCUAAUUAUGUGCCAGCAGCCGCGGUAAGACAUAAGGGGCAAGUGUUAUCCGGAAUUAUUGGGCGUAAAGGGUGCGUAGGCGGUCUAGUAAGUCAGUGGUGUAAUGGCAACGCUCAACGUUGUCCGGCUAUUGAAACUGCUAAACUUGAGUUAGAUAGAGGCGAGUGGAAUUCCAUGUGUAGCGGUAAAAUGCGUAAAUAUAUGGAGGAACACCAGAGGCGUAGGCGGCUCGCUGGGUCUUAACUGACGCUGAGGCACGAAAGCGUGGGGAGCAAACAGGAUUAGAUACCCUGGUAGUCCACGCCGUAAACGAUGAGUACUAAGUGUCGGGUUAAACCGGUACUGAAGUUAACACAUUAAGUACUCCGCCUGAGUAGUACGUACGCAAGUAUGAAACUUAAAGGAAUUGACGGGACUCCGCACAAGCGGUGGAUCAUGUUGUUUAAUUCGAAGAUACCCGAAAAACCUUACCAGGUCUUGACAUGUUUUUGCGAAACGGUAGUAAUAUCGUGGAGGUUAUCAGAAACACAGGUGGUGCAUGGUUGUCGUCAGCUCGUGUCGUGAGAUGUUAGGUUAAGUCCUAAAACGAGCGAAACCCUUAUCGUUAGUUGCCAGCACGUUAUGGUGGGGACUUUAACGAGACUGCCAGUGAUAAAUUGGAGGAAGGUGAGGAUCACGUCAAAUCAGCAUGCCCCUUAUGACCUGGGCUACAAACGUGAUACAAUGGCUGUUACAAAGGGUAGCUGAAACGCAAGUUCUUGGCCAAUCCCCAAAAACAGUCUCAGUCCGGAUUGAAGUCUGCAACUCGACUUCAUGAAG